rnacentral:tRNA from 1 species
GUGGCUGUAGUUCAACGGUAAGAACAUCUGGUUGUGAUCCAGAAAACGGGGGUUCGACUCCCCUCAGCCACCC